CCUCAGGGGCACGUGUGACCAUUUGCUUUUCUUCCCAGGUUUAAGAUGGCCGAGUCGGGACCCCGGGACCCCGGGAGGAAAGGGCUGGCCACAUGAGCCCUCCUGCCGCGCACCCGGGGCUUCCUCCAGGCUUCUCCACGGGCACCCAUCCUGGCGAUCCCCCGGCGUGGCCCUGCCUCUGUCAUGUCCACUGGGAUCCAGUCUACAGGGGGAGCUUCCCUGGGCCUCACGUACAAGUGCUGGACGAGAGGUGACAAUUGCUUAUUUUUCCUGCUUUAUUUCUGUCCAGAGAAAUGCCCGUAGGCCCUUCAUCCAGGCAGCCACAUUCACAGGCCAGUUGUCACGUGCUCCUGUAGGAUCUAGCAACUCCACAGCAUCACAACCCUGAGCAGUGACCGUCCCUGAACCUCAGGCCCCUCCUGCCUCCCCACAGUUAAUGCUGGAACAAAAAGGCAGGGCUCACAGUUGAGGUCCCUGUCCUCGUCUUUCUGAUGCGGGUGUCCUCACUACCCUUCCCCAGGACCCCAUCUCUGCAUCGCAGUCUGAGCACGAGGGGACAGCUCUACGGGCCUCCUUCCCAGCCCUUGCCCCCCAGCCUCAGGGCUGCAAGCUGAGGUUCUGGCUGUGGAGGUGUGCUGAGGUGGACAGAGAGGUAGUAGAGAGACACGAGUCUCUUUCAAGUUGUGACUCUUCCAAUUCCUUUACCCGAUGGACAUCAGUGGCUAGUGGAACCCACAGGGCUCUGCAGCGUGAGACGCCCUUCCUCCCACAGUGCAAUAGAUGGCAUUCGGUGAUCGGCUGUUUCAGGGAGUCCCAGGCUCAGUUAGGUGGCCACCCUGGGGCUUCCCCGCAGCCCCUCUGGCCACUCCCUCUGCCUCCUGGCUGGCUCAGCUGUACUCUGGAACUGCCCAGUCCUUGUGAGUGAGGACAGGCCCCAAGAUGCCAAGAGAUGGAAGACAGGUGCCAAUCGGAGACUCUGCAGAGGGCGACCUCCUGGGGGCUGGCUGGCGAAAGGUAGCCCUGGGGGCAGAAGGACCAGCUGGAUCCCCACAAUUUGGUCAGAAAGAGGGGCAUACUUAUGGGCAAGGACAGAAGUGACCAUCUUGGCUGAAAUGCACCUGGCUUACCUUGAGGUGAUAUGGAAGUGUUGGGUGCGUCCCUGGAGCAGGGCCUUGCUUUGAGGUGCCACAGUCAACUCUGGUGCCUUUGUUUACACAGGUUUCCUGGGAGACUCUUCAGGAAAAAUGGACUUGGACAACCCUGGAGUUAGAGACAACAGGGCUGCGGUCACUUCCCCACAAGUGGCCCUGGCCCUCGCUGCGUCUGGGGUGUGUCGGAGAAGGAGAAGCCUGGGACACUCUGUGUCCAGCAAGGGCUGGCCACACCUCCUGGCUGCUCUGCUUGGUGGACGGCCCCUGUCAUCUCCAGGUUGCUGCAAUGGCCCACGUGACCCAGGCUCUGUGGGCUGAGGCCUGGACGUGGCUCCUGGUCUCACCUUUGUGGAUCUGUGGCUUUGAGGGAAUGACCCAUCCUCCCUGGGCCUCAGUCCACCACCUCCCAUGGGACUGACAGUUCACAGCUCAGUUCCUGGGUAGAGCAGGUGCUGGCCCAGGACUUCCUUCCACACCCCUUCCUAAGGAGCCCUCCACUGUCUGUCCACCUGCCCUGGCCAUCUAGAGCUACUGGACACCAACUGAUGCUUGUCCAAACUCUGCCUGCAGAACCACGUAGUGGGAAAUGUUCCUCUCAGACAUUCUCGUGGACUGUGCUCUAUGAUUGCUGACUGGGACACACAGCCCGGUGCUCAACACGAGGAAUCAGGUGGAAAGGGGCUAUCGGCCCUCAUAUUUCUCACAUGGAUUUGUCCCUGGUGUGCAGGACAGCUGCUUUCAGGUUGCGCCUGGCCUGAGUGACUCCAUAGUGUGUAGGAUAGCCGCUCUCAGGCUGCGCCUGCCCUGGUGACUCCAUGGUGUGCAGAACAGCAGUCCUCAGGCUGUGCCUGCCCUAGUGACUCCAUGGUGUGUAGAACAGCAGUCCUCAGGCUGCGCCUGCCCUAGUGACUCCAUGGUGUGUAGAACAACAGUCCUCAGGCUGCGCCUGCCCUAGUGACUCCAUGGUGUGUAGGACAGCAGUCCUCAGGCUGUGCCUGCCCUAGUGACUCCAUGGUGUGUAGAACAGCAGUCCUCAGGCUGUGCCUGCCCUAGUGACUCCAUGGUGUGUAGAACAGCAGUCCUCAGGCUGCGCCUGCCCUAGUGACUCCAUGGUGUGCAGGACAGCAGUCCUCAGGCUGUGCCUGUCCUAGUGACUCCAUGGUGUGUGGAACAGCAGUCCUCAGGCUGCGCCUGCCCUGGUGACUCCAUGGUGUGCAGAACAGCAGUCCUCAGGCUGCGCCUGCCCUAGUGACUCCAUGGUGUGCAGAACAGCAGUCCUCAGGCUGCGCCUGCCCUGAGUGACUCCAUGGUGUGUGGAACAGCAGUCCUCAGGCUGCGCCUGCCCUGGUGACUCCAUGGUGUGUAGAACAGCAGUCCUCAGGCUGCGCCUGCCCUAGUGACUCCAUGGUGUGCAGAACAGCAGUCCUCAGGCUGUGCCUGCCCUGGUGACUCCAUGGUGUGCAGAACAGCAGUCCUCAGGCUGUGCCUGCCCUGGUGACUCCAUGGUGUGUAGGACAGCAGUCCUCAGGCUGUGCCUGCCCUAGUGACUCCAUGGUGUGUGGAACAGCAGUCCUCAGGCUGCGCCUGCCCUAGUGACUCCAUGGUGUGCAGGACAGCAGUCCUCAGGCUGCGCCUGCCCUGGUGACUCCAUGGUGUGCAGAACAGCAGUCCUCAGGCUGUGCCUGCCCUGGUGACUCCAUGGUGUGUGGAACAGCAGUCCUCAGGCUGUGCCUGCCCUAGUGACUCCAUGGUGUAGAGACGAGCAGUUUGUCAUGACCUGUGACAUAGCCCAGGUCACAUGUGACACAUUACCCACCAAUCUGAAGCUCCUCUAACCCUUUCUCAGUUUCCCAUGACCUACUUCUUUUUUUUUAAAGAGAGAGAGAGAGAGAGAGAGAGAGAGAGAGAGAGAGAGAGAGAAUUUUUAAAUAUUUUAUUGUUUUUUAGUUUUCAGCGGCACAACAUCCUUUUAUUUGUAUGUGAUGCUGAGGAUCGAACCCAGCGCCGCAUGCAUGCCAGGCAAGCGCACUACCACUUGAGCCACAUCCCCAGCCCAUGACCUACUUCUUAUGUAUCACUCUGUGACGUGUGUGUGACUGUUGUCUUUGGAUAUUAGAAAUUAAGAGUGGAAUAAAAGAAUCUGUGAUUGUCGUGCUCAUGACUACCAGGUAACCUAGGGGUAUUCAGUGAAUUGCCACAAAGGAAAGUGGGCAGCCUGUGAAUUUAUUGUUGCUCAGUGAAUGCCGACAUUGCAGAAAGAUACAGACGUGUUUGGUCUAUUUUAAUGACAUAGCUCACUCACGACAGUGGACAAGGACAGCAAGCAGGCCUAGGAUUGGCCAGUUUGAGGGAUUUCAGGACCCUGGAGCCCAGGGGCUGCCUGGUUGUCCAGCACCACCCUGGAGGGGUGGUCACAGUUUAGGGGAACCCAGGGUGGGCGUGGGCUCUGCACUGAAUGGCGGAGUAGUGCUUUACCAUCCCUAGGAAUUAGCUGCCUGAGGGUCAGUGAGGCCCUAGAUGCUCAGGCAGCAGGCACACAGAACAGACUGGGAACGCAGGGGCCACGGUGCGCUGUUAAGGAGAGCGUGGGCCUGAGGCCUUGACUCUCUACCUCCUGACCCUUUCCUGGGUGGGGUCUUGCCUGGCAGGGAAGGAGGGGCUGCCCCCUGGCCCCGCAGGCUGCAGCUUGGGGUCAGCCUUCUUGGUCUCUGGAAGCCUCAGUUUCCCCCGGGUUUCUAUGAGGUCCUGUGACAUCGCCCAGGUCACGUGUGUGACCAUUACCCACAGCAGAUCACAGGCAGAGCGUUAUGGCUUCUGCCACCUGCGGAAGCCACUUGCUUAAAAGAAAAACACUCUGAUUAAAGCAGCCGAGCCGUGCCCUUCAGUGACCACGCCUGGGGUGGCAGGAGGCAGGACGGGCGCGUGGGAAGGCCCUGGGGGCAAGCGCAGCCUCUGGAGCGGGUCGCUCCGGGGCAGGUGGAGGGGCCCGGGUCAGAGACCCCCACACCUGGGCUGAGAGGAGGAGCAGCUCAAGGCAGGUCACAGAGCUGGCCCUCGCCCGCGGCCCCACAGGCUGAGGCUUCUCCCGGUGGCUCAGCUGCUGACUGGGCACAGGGAGGAGUGAGCGGGUCCUCCCAGCUACCCAGGACCCAGCGCCAGGACCACCUCAAGCUUGCAACUGAGCGCAGGGGGGAGGUGGGCAGAGGGCGUCUUCCUGGGCCCUGCCCCGAGUCCUGGGCCUGGAGCCCGUCAGCGCUCCCUGCAGGCCUGGGGAGGGGCUAUGGUGACAGGGGCUCCCUGGGAUGUUGGCCGCCCCUGCAGACACCCUGUUCCCGGGAAGUCUGUCCUGCCCUAGGCACAGUGGGUGGGUCCUGGUGGACGCUGGCCUGGCCCUCAGGCCAUGUCUUCCUAGGACCCUGAGCCUCCUCCUGGUCUGGCUUUGUCUGAGCCUUGGGGAGGGGCCACCUUGGGGAGUGGACCUCAGGGUCAUGCAGGGUGAGGGCUGGGGGGGAGGGUGGCUGGGGUGCAUGGUGGGCCCUCGUGGCUCUGGGGCAGAAGGGGAGGAGCAGCCAGGUGAGGUGAGAGGUGUGGCCAGGUGGCCAGGUGGGCAGUCAGGCUGCCUUGCCC
rnacentral:lncRNA from 1 species